ACUUCCCACUUCCGGUCACGGACUGUGAGAGCCGAAAGGGGCUUCCGGUGUGGUCGUGUCCCACCCCCCACAAGGAAAAGCAAGAUCUGGGAGGCACCCCACACCGGGGGCAGCGAGCCAGGAGCACCGCUCGGCCGGGACGGCUGGGCUGCGGGGCUGAGAGAACCCGGGGCAGAGCGAGCUGCCAGCCGCUGGUCGGCAGAUUGUGGCAGUGUGGGCCUGGCAUUUCCGGAGCCCCUUUGAUGGGAGGACCCUAUUUGGCCAUCUUCAUCCUCUGGGCAGGGACAGAAGAAAAGAUCCUCCCCUCCAAUUCUUUUCCCUGUUGGAUACAGUCUUCCUGAAUGUGCCGCAGGAUGUAUAUGACAGGAGUAUCUUCCCAAGAAUGGAAUUCAAGCUCUGACUCCCAUACUCUUAGAGGCUACUGGCUUGGCUGUAAUCCUCCUUGAACAGGGCUUCAGGAGACAGUUAGCAAGGGCCUGGGUCUGUCUGAUUGUGUGAGAGCUGGGGUGCGUGGUUUGCCCUAUAACAAGAUCUCACCAGCACAGUUAAGUUUGGAAACAGGAAGGUUGAAGAGAAGGGAAUUCUGGACAAGGACUCCGCUCUCCUCCCUAAGACAAUUCACAGUGAUCUUCCAUUUUGGCCCACUUACACACCGUUCAUGGAUCCCAAUUUAGCUCGAACUUCUUACCCUUCAACCCAGCCCCUAAAAAUAAGAACAUCUGGGAAUACCAAGGCAGGGUGGUAGGGAGAACAAUUUCAUGGGCUCUCUCCCUCUCCCGACCUCGUAACUUUUAUUGCUUUACAGUUCAUUGUCUCACUCUUUCCCCCACCGCCCACCACCAUCGUUUUGUUCACACAGGAACUGUGGGAAACUCCACCGGGGGCGGGGGGUGAUUCACGAUCUUUUGGAACGACUGCUGAGCAAUGAGAGUCUCAAUGAAAUACCCGGCUGGGAAUAUCAACUCCCCCUUUAAUAUUCUCUUCUUCUGGUUCAAUAUGGAGUAAUUUCAAGGCUCACCACAGCUAGGGCUUGAAGUCUUUCUUUGAUUGCUGCUGCCUGUCUAUUGUGCAUUCCCUGGAACAACCUGGAGAUGAGAGCCAGGUAGCAACAAUGCAGCACGUCUCUGGGACCAAAUGAUAAUUGGAAAAUCCCAGUAAGUCCAUUCCCUCUGGCCCUUAGUUCACAUAUGGCCAGCACAUUAGAGACCUUGUCCAAAAGACCAGUUUGGGACACAGAGUGGGGGUGAUUUCGGUCAUUAACUCAGACUAUCUUCCCUCAAAUAAUCGAGCAAUCAGGGCUCGGUGUGCCUUGGCUCCAUUGCAGGUCUGGCCAUGUCACUGGUUUUAACCCAAGCUGAUGUCCCUUCUAGAAUGGUCCAUACUCAAGGAGAUAAAGUAGCUGUCUUUAUGAGUGAUUGCUUCCAGACUCAACGAAGAGAGACUCAUGUGUUUGAAAUGCCCGCCAUCCUUCUCCAUUUCACCAUAAAGUAGCCAAUUUAAUUUUGCACAAUACUGUUUGAUAACAACCAUGUGUGUGUCUUCUGUAUUUAUACGCUCAGGAAAGGACCUACUUGGUCAGUGUGAGAUAAUUUCACAAGAAAAAUGGAACCAGA